rnacentral:snRNA from 1 species
UUUGCUUCUCGGCCUUUUGGCUAAGAUCAAGUGUAGUAUCUGUCCUGUUCUCUUUGUUUGAUGCUCCUGAGCAUCAAGUUCAGCAGACACAGACCCUGC